AUUGAACGCUGGCGGCAUGCCUUACACAUGCAAGUCGAACGGUAACAGGUCUUCGGAUGCUGACGAGUGGCGAACGGGUGAGUAAUACAUCGGAACGUGCCUAGUAGUGGGGGAUAACUACUCGAAAGAGUGGCUAAUACCGCAUGAGAUCUACGGAUGAAAGCAGGGGAUCGCAAGACCUUGUGCUACUAGAGCGGCCGAUGGCAGAUUAGGUAGUUGGUGGGAUAAAGCUUACCAAGCCGACGAUCUGUAGCUGGUCUGAGAGGACGAUCAGCCACACUGGGACUGAGGCACGGCCCAGACUCCUACGGGAGGCAGCAGUGGGGAAUUUUGGACAAUGGGCGAAAGCCUGAUUCAGCAAUGCCGCGUGCAGGAUGAAGGCCUUCGGGUUGUAAACUGCUUUUGUACGGAACGAAAAGCCCCGGGUUAAUACCCUGGGGUCAUGACGGUACCGUAAGAAUAAGCACCGGCUAACUACGUGCCAGCCGCCGCAGUAA
rnacentral:rRNA from 1 species